rnacentral:rRNA from 1 species
UUCGUAGCUGGACUGUUAAGUCCCUUGGGAAAUCCGUCGGCUCAACCGACGGGCGUCUAAGGGAUACUGGCAGUCUUGGGACCGGGAGAGGUAAGAGGUACUCCGGGGGUAGGAGUGAAAUCCUGUAAUCCCCGGGGGGCCACCGGUGGCGAAGGCGUCUUACCAGAACGGCUCCGACAGUGAGGAACGAAAGCUGGGGGAGCGAACAGGAUUAGAUACCCUGGUAGUCC